GAUGAACGCUAGCGGCAGGCCUAAUACAUGCAAGUCGAGGGGUAUGGGUUGCUUGCCACCCAGAGACCGGCGCACGGGUGCGUAACGCGUAUGCAAUCUACCUUAAUCAGGGGGAUAGCCCGGAGAAAUCCGGAUUAACACCGCAUAACAUUGAGUUGUGGCAUCACAGUUCAAUCAAAUAUUUAUAGGAUUAAGAUGAGCAUGCGUGACAUUAGUUAGUUGGUGAGGUAACGGCUCACCAAGACCACGAUGUCUAGGGGAUCUGAGAGGAUGACCCCCCACACUGGUACUGAGACACGGACCAGACUCCUACGGGAGGCAGCAGUAAGGAAUAUUGGUCAAUGGGCGCAAGCCUGAACCAGCCAUGCCGCGUGCAGGAAGACGGCCCUAUGGGUUGUAAACUGCUUUUGUACCGGAAUAAACCUUCUCUUGCGAGAGAAGCUGAACGUACGGUAAGAAUAAGGAUCGGCUAACUCCGUG
rnacentral:rRNA from 1 species